GUAGGUGAACCUGCGGAAGGAUCAUUAAUGAAGUGCUUGGCGUCUUCGGACCCAAACCCCCUCUCAUUAUCCCUUCACCUGUGCACUGUUUGACGGGGUGGCGGCUGGCCUUGUCGUGCUCGACGAGGUCUCCCACGCCCUGUCAUAUACACACAAUUUUUUUUAGACAACGUUGAUGAAUGUUCAUUUGUCGGCAGUCAUUCGUUUACCGAGUGGCUCUGAUCACAAACAUACACACAACUUUUAGCAACGGAUCUCUUGGCUCUC
rnacentral:misc_RNA from 1 species